rnacentral:misc_RNA from 1 species
GAUGAAGAACGUAGCGAAAUGCGAUAAGUAGUGUGAAUUGCAGAAUUCAGUGAAUCAUCGAAUCUUUGAACGCACAUUGCGCCCUUUGGUAUUCCAAAGGGCAUGCCUGUUCGAGCGUCAUUUGUACCCUCAAGCUUUGCUUGGUGUUGGGCGUCUUGUCUCUAGCUUUGCUGGAGACUCGCCUUAAAGUAAUUGGCAGCCGGCCUACUGGUUUCGGAGCGCAGCACAAGUCGCACUUUCUAUCAGCAAAGGUCUAGCAUCCAUUAAGCCUUUUUUUCAACUUUUGACCUCGGAUCAGGUAGGGAUACCCGCUGAACUUAAGCAUAUCAAUAAGCGGAGGA